rnacentral:rRNA from 1 species
AUUGAACGCUGGCGGCAGGCUUAACACAUGCAAGUCGAACGAGUGGCGGACGGGUGAGUAAUGCAUGGGAAUCUGGCUUAUGGAGGGGGAUAACUACGGGAAACGGUAGCUAAUACCGCAUACCAUCGGAUGAGCCCAUGUGGGAUUAGGUAGUUGGUAAGGUAAAGGCUCACCUAGCCGACGAUCUCUAGCUGGUCUGAGAGGAUGACCAGCCACACUGGGACUGAGACACGGCCCAGACUCCUACGGGAGGCAGCAGUGGGGAAUAUUGCGCAAUGGGGGCAACCUGACGCAGCCAUGCCGCGUGAAUGAAGAAGGCCUUCGGGUUGUAAAGUUCUUUCGGUAGCGAGGCGUUAACUACAGAAGAAGCACCGGCUAACUCCGUGCCAGCCGCCGCGGUAAUAC